rnacentral:rRNA from 1 species
UACGUAGGGUGCGAGCGUUGUCCGGAAUUAUUGGGCGUAAAGGGCUCGUAGGCGGUCUGUUGCGUCAGGAGUGAAAACUCGGGGCUUAACUCCGAGCCUGCUUCUGAUACGGGCAGACUAGAGGUAUGCAGGGGAGAACGGAAUUCCUGGUGUAGCGGUGAAAUGCGCAGAUAUCAGGAGGAACACCGGUGGCGAAGGCGGAUCUCUGGGCCUUACCUGACGCUGAGGCGCGAAAGCUAGGGGAGCGAACAGG